UGUAAGAGAAAUACUGAAAGGUGCAAAAGGAAAUUCACAAUACUGUGAUAUUGUGUCUGCCAUAUUUUCCGUAAUACCCUUAAUUAUGCUUAAUUACGUUGCUUAGGCAAAGGACUUUUGGUAGAACUAUAAGUAUCACAUCUUAAACCCAAGAAACCAAACCAAAAAGAAAUUAGGCAAAACAUUUCAAAAGGUGAACCUAUGGCAAAGUAUUAUCUUCUCUUCAUCACCAUGGUUCUCCUUGUAGUAGGGAAUGUAAAGGUGGAAGCGGGUAUAUGUAUAGCUCCUUAUGGUGCAUGUGGUCCUAGAGGAGAAUGUGCGCAAAGGUGUAGCAAAAACCACCAAGGUGGAGCAGGGGGUUGUGAGUUAGGUCUUUGCAAAUGUACUUACACUUGUGAUCCUCCUCAGCCUGCCUCGAGAAAACUUAAAAAGUUAUUCUAAUUUCUUCCUAGCAGGUUGUGUAUCCGGAAGUGAUUGUGCAAUUGAAAAUCUUAUCAGUCUUCGUUUUCUUA